rnacentral:rRNA from 1 species
AUUGAACGCUGGCGGCAUGCUUUACACAUGCAAGUCGAACGGUAACAGGCCGCAAGGUGCUGACGAGUGGCGAACGGGUGAGUAAUGCAUCGGAACGUGCCCAGUCGUGGGGGAUAACGCAGCGAAAGCUGCGCUAAUACCGCAUACGAUCUAUGGAUGAAAGCGGGGGACCGUAAGGCCUCGCGCGAUUGGAGGGGCCGAUGUCAGAUUAGGUAGUUGGUGGGGUAAAGGCUCACCAAGCCAACGAUCUGUAGCUGGUCUGAGAGGACGACCAGCCACACUGGGACUGAGACACGGCCCAGACUCCUACGGGAGGCAGCAGUGGGGAAUUUUGGACAAUGGGCGCAAGCCUGAUCCAGCAAUGCCGCGUGCAGGAAGAAGGCCUUCGGGUUGUAAACUGCUUUUGUACGGAACGAAACGGUCCUGGUUAAUACCUGGGGCUAAUGACGGUACCGUAAGAAUAAGCACCGGCUAACUACGUGCCAGCCGCCGCCGUAAUAC